UCUCCGUAGGUGAACCUGCGGAGGGAUCAUUACAGAGUUCUCGCCCUCACGGGUAGAUCUCCCACCCACUGUUAUCGUUACUGUCGUUUCUUUGGCGGGCCGCCGGGUCCCCGGCCGCCGGCGCCUAGCUGCCGGCGCGCGCCCGCCAGAGGCCCUCAAACUCUGAAUGUUAGUGUCGUCUGAGUACUAUAUAAUAGUUAAAACUUUCAACAACGGAUCUCUUGGUUCUG
rnacentral:misc_RNA from 1 species